UACGAAGGGUGCAAAACGUUGCUCGGAAUCAUUUGGGCGUAAAAGCGCACGUAGGCGGCCCUGUAAGUCGGAUGUGAGAUCCCUCGGCUCAACUGAGGACGUGCAUCCGAAACUGCAGAGCUCGAGUAUGGAAGAGGGGUCGCGGAAUUCCCGGUGUAGAGGUGAAAAUUCGUAGAUAUUGGGAAGAACACCAGUGGCGAAGGGCGGCUCACUGGCUCGUAACUGACGCUCAGGCGCGACAGCGUGGGGGAUCAAAACAGG
rnacentral:rRNA from 1 species